AGUGUUUGCCUUGGGCUGUCAGCUCCACAGCUCCUGCCAGGUCGCCCAGCUGGGAGGGAGGAAUAGUCCCUGACCUCUGCUUCCCUUGCCAGAGCACCCAGCGCGGGACGCAGCCCACGCUCAGACUCAGACCCUUGGCGGAACCAGGAACCUCCGCCCAGCAUGAACACCGCGGCUCGGCUCACAACCGGAAGCGCAGCAGGUCAAGGUUCCCAGAGUAUGAAAUGUCAGCCUCCGGCGGCAAUGACGUUCACCCCGCAGCGCUGAAAAUAGACUCCAGAACUCAGCGUCCAGCCCGGGAGGCGGCAGGGCCAAGGAUAGGCCCCGCCCAGUCAUUGGCAGCCCUGAAAGCAAAGGCCACUUCUGACUCGUCUCGGCACCCCCCACCCAAAGCAGCACCUGGCCAGCCCCAUGGAAGCCUGGACCUUCUGUGAUCGGCAGGUCUUCACGGUGGCGCUCUGGGUGGGUGCCACGGCCACGGCCACGAGACUCCUGCGCCACCGCGGGGGGACAGGGCCCCGCCAGAACUCCUGCUCCCUCCCCUCCCUCCGCCUUCCUCUCCUCCUCCUUCACACCAGCCACCGUCCACUGGUUCCUUCCGUUGCCCACCUGUCGCCUGCCCAUGCCCACAGCGGAUCCCUGGGUUCAGGACCCUCACCACGAGGAGUCACGGAGGAAUCGUGGCUGCUGCCCUGGGAGUCUGCUCACGGCGGGUCACCAGGACUCUGUGUGGAGCCCUUCCUGUGUAUGGGGCCGAGGGGAGCCCCCAGUCGUCCUCUCCUUUACUCUCGGACGACUCAAGUUCAGGGCCAUCACCUGGCUGUGGCACAGGGGCCUGAGGUCCGUGGAGCUGGGCCUUUGGUGCUCGGAGCUGGGAGGGCCUCCCGGGCACGGCCUCAAGCUGGCCUGGGCUGGACACCCAGGAGCCCUCAGCAGAGCUGGAAGAGGGAAGGUGAGGUGCCCUCAGCCUGGCUGCCCACCGCCCAACAUGGGGGCCCCAGCCUGGGGCUCCCAAGGGAGCUGGGAAGAUGGGCCAGCACCCUGGACUGAGCAGUGGCCUCAACCCUGGGGCCUGGCCAGGGAGCCAGGGCAGCCCUCCUCCGUGACUGGACACAGGCCCCUCUCCUCUCGGGCUCCGUCUCCCCAUCUGUGAAGGGGAACCCUGGAGGGGUGUGAGCCCUUAGGAGAGUGUUCCCUGUCAUCGCUGCGUCUGAUACACAUGACCCUCCAAGGGGCUCCCGAGAGCAGGGGCACCUGGGCAGGGGACAGGUAGCAGGCCAGCGCCCAUGUCCUUGGCCUCCUAGGCCUUCUGGGGCUCCCAGGGCCCACUGGGUGUCACCCCCAGGACAACAGCAGGGUGCAAGUGACAUCUGGAAGGUAGCCUCUGUCUCCUGAAGCACCCAGGAGCUGCCAAGCACCAAACAGCCAUUACGUAAGCUGCCUACUUGCCACCACCGGCCACCAGGUCGCCACGUAAUGGGGAAGGGACUGGCGGCCUGGCGGGUGGGGAGGGAUGAGCUCAGAGGCCUCCCGCUCUGCCUUCUGUUGCGCUGCAAGCACACACAUUCCGUGCCCAGCAGCGGGGCGUGGUGGGAGCGCCCACAGAGGGGCCGGGAAACUCGACAUCCCGGGGGGCGGGCGGGCCUCUGGGUCAUAGGCUCGGGUUGCAGCCGUGGGUGGGGCCGGGCACCCCUGCAGGCAGCAGGAGGCUGAGCCAGGAUGGCACCUGAGUGUCAAGCACCCAAAGGUCCUGGGGCCUCCCUGCUGUUGGCACCAGUCAACUGCAUGGAUGGACAAGUGGCCAUCGGCACAGCCAGGGCUCAGGGCCGGACAGGGUGGGAAGGAGCCAGGGCACAGUCCCACCUGCCAGGGUACCACGAUGACAGCCCACAAGGUUGCCAGGAGCCACAUAAUCCCCAUAGCAACCCAGAUGUUCUGACUCGGGAAGAAACUGGAAGGGCAGAAAGACAGAAGGUGGCCAGUGGGUGGACAGAGCAGUGCACGGAGCAACAGUGGCCCCAUGGACAGUGAAGAAGCGGCUGUGGGCCCAUGAGUGUGUGGGGCGGGGAGGCCAGCAGAUGGGUCACCGAGGUAGGGAGGGCUGCACGGAUGGGCGGAGGGAUGGGCCUUUGAAGGGAGCCGCCAGUGAGUCAUGUGGACAUGUGAGUCAAUGGGCGGAUGGAACCCGAACCCGGGGACAGGUGGAAGUCUGCCCCGUGGCCGUGUGUAUGAAGGACAGAGGCUGGGUGGGCGGGCAGCGAGUGGGUGGGCGGCUGUUUCCUGGGUUACAGAGACGCAAACACCCAGCUCCCAGCCCAAGCUGACUCUGUGGGGCUGCCUGGUGACCAGCAGGCCACCUCAUGGAGCCAACCCCGUGGCAGGUGGACGACAUAGCAGGGACCGAGCAGAGCCCUGGCCAAGGUGGGAGGCCACUCUUUCUUCAGCACCCACUGCACUAAGUCCCAGAAGAAGCCAAAGGAGAGCCCAGCUCUGACCCGGGCCUGCUGGGUAUCCAGGGAGGCAGUGCUGCCCACCUCUGGGCUGUACUGCAGGUGGGCGAUGGGCUCAGAGGGAACUCAGGGCUGGGGAGGGGCUGCUGUGCAGCCAGGGAGACAGGAGCUGGCGAGGUCCCUGCUGCUCAGGCCCCAGGCCCCUCUAGGCCCCACUGCCCAUCUCCAAGACCCUUCCAGCUCCAGCCCUGGAGAUUCUGGCCCCAGAGACUGAGCCUCACAACCUGGGUGGAGGGAAGCCAGCCAAGAGGAUGCUGGGUUUGUGCAGGUUCCUAAUCUCCCUGGCCAGGUGUCCUCUCGGAUGUGAGCCUGGCCAAGCCCUCUGUCCCCAGGUGUCACGUUCCCAUCACUGAUCCUGAGCGUGUGUUGGACGCCGGCCUGGGUCAGGGGACUGGCAUUUGUACGGGGCAGGAACCUGGGAGGGCCCAGGUCUGGAGUGUUCUUCAGCAGUGGCAGGCGUGCCCCAGAGCUGGGCCCGGGCAGCAGGAGGCCCCCAGCCUGGGGUGCGAGGAGAGGGGACGCAGAGAGCUUGUGUCCCCUCUCCAGGCUCCUCUGCCCCGUGCUAACUCAGAGGCCUGGGACAGGCCGGGAGGAGAGGAGGAAGCUGGAGCCGGCCUGGUUCCCAGCACACCCUGCGGGGCUGCCUGCCCUGCUGACCAGUGGCCCACGGCUCCCCUGGGAGGCGGCCCGCAGGCCCUGGACCGGGUCAUCUCGGCAGCAAAUGGAGCCGAGCGGCCGUGUUCCCACGCCAGCAGCCGCCAGUGCAGGCCCGAGGAGUGGGACCUGGCCUGUCCAGGGUCAGGGGCUCCCAGUCCCCAGGCCCCCCGAGUCCUAUGUGUCCCAUUGCACACUGCCCACCAGGUGUCCACCGUCACCUGUCACAGAGCAGGCCAGGGCUCCUCCCCAGGACCCUCCUCCCACUCACCCACCCCACUGUGUGUGGAGGGGCCACGGGUCCCUUAGGGGCGGAGGGCAGGCCAAACCCCCAGGGCCGGGGCUGGGUGGGCCUGGCAGGGGACCCUACUCACACCCAGUCCUCUACUCUGCCUCUGGAGUGGAGACCCUCUCUGGCCUGAGAUUCCAUUUCUUCCUAGAGCUUUCUGAGCUGUAUUGGACUAUCUUUCCACCCGGAAAAGAGAGAAAAAUGCCCACAUUUUAUAGAUAAGAACCCUGGUUCCGAGAGGCUGAGCAACUGGCCCGAGUCACAGAGUGAAGCGCGAGAGCUAGCCUUCGAACCCAGACCCGCCUCCCAGCUGCGGAACGAAUGAGCGAAGGCUGUGCAGCCAGGGCAGGCCUGCUCCCGCCUAGACACCCCCAGGACGCCUGGCCGCGCACUUUAGACAAGGGCGCUGGGCCACCCCUCACCAGCUCCAGUCUGCCACACAGAGGAAUCCAGGCUGUUCCCGGCUCUGAAGCUGAAGUAUGGAAGGUCAUUCUGUCCUGGCCUCCUUCCAGCCUCUUCUGCACACAAUUGCCAGGACCGAGGGGCCUCUACCGCUUAACCUCCUCUGCUCCCUCCCUAGGCACCCCUGCCCACAGCUGUCCCAGGGCCAGCAGCAGAGAGGGAAGAGAAGCCCACCUGCACAUGCAGCCUGAGGAUUCUGGGGUGCCCCUGCCCUGGGAGGCCCCAGACCCAAGGGAGAAGGGAACACGAGCCCACGCCAGCCAGAGCCGCCUGCAGCGCUGCACCCACUCGCCAUCACAAUCUGCUCGGGGUUGAGGGGCCCAGGGAAGGCGGCCCCGCCCCCAGAUCCCUCAGCGCGGGGACGGUCAGUCGGCCUCCGUCACCAUUUCCCAAAGCCAAUUCCAGGUCGCCAGCUGCUACUGGGAUCUAAGUUUGGGGUUCACAGGACACAGUGGUCUUUGUCAGGGCGUUUACUAUGCCACCCCAGGGGACAGAGCAAGCGUGUGUGACCUCAAAAUCCUCCUAGAGGGUCUUAGGGGGUGGGUAUUCCCUGGACCCUUCUCCAAGAAACAGCUGAGCUGCUCUUUGCACUCGGAAGAGCUUGGUUCCUGUGCUCUACCCCAGCCCAGUACGUGGCUAAGGCUGGCCAGAGAGAGCUCAGGACAGGGUGGCUGGGCCCACAGUGGUGGACCCCCCGGAGGACAGGUCCUGGGGCCCUGGCAGCCUGUGAGUGAGCCCCACAGGUCCGGGGCAGAGGUACCCAGCUGGCCCCCAGCCGUGCCCCCAGGCUCCCUGGUUUCAUGCUGCUGGCUGCCGGUCCUGCUGGCUCCUGCCCCUACCCUCAGUGGCCUUCCACAUUUCCCCAGCAGCGCCUGUGGUGGCUGGGAUCCUUUUCUAUCGCUUCAGCAUCUAAUCUGGUUUCCCAUCUGACCUGGAAAGGCCUCCACGCCUCCUUCCGCCUGCAGUCUUCCUGAUUUGGCCUCCUGAGCGCUAGCCAGCUCCGCUCCUCCCGACACCCCGUCUCCCCUCUGCUCCCUCCACACCACCUCUCCUCUCGAGCCACCACCUGGCCUCACCAGAGCUCUUGCUGGCAACCCUGAGGCUGGGGUCGGGCCUGGGCAGCCUCCCUUCUCCUCCUCUUCCUUCCUUGACUUGGCCAACUGCUAAGCACUUUCUUGGCCCCAGGGGCAGGGGCCUGGCCUCUGUGGCCCCUUCCGGACCCAGUGCUCCAGUCUGGUGCAGAGACGAGGGAGGAAGUGCCCUUGCCCGGGGGACGGGCACAAGACCCUCUCUCCGGAGACAGGAGAACGCGCCCGCUGUGCAGAUGAGCCAGUAGUGUCUAAGGCCGUCCUCCGCUGCCCUGGACUCGGGGCAGUAAGCGGCAGAGCCCUGUUGACCUUUGGUGGAGGGCGGCUCUGUCCAAGGCCUGGGCGACCCGCAGGCUCACUGGAACACGAGGCUGGCCUGGGGCUGGGUGCAGAUGACCUCGCUGCCAGUCUCACAGCCUGAAAAGCUGUCCCCGUGGCAAUCCGGCCCCUUGCCUCUCCCCUGCCCUCCAGGGACCGGCCACCUUGGGCUGAGCCUUCCUCAGGCCACCCCUCCGUUAGCACCCAUGCUUUUCUCUCCUUCCUGUUGAUUUGUGUGGGGUUGUGCACUGGACAGGGGUGAAGGUCAUGUCCCCACAUGAGAUGCCCCACAAGCCCCCGUUAGGCAGGAAUACUCAGGUGAAAAGCCUGGAUUAUGAGGGCAGUAACCUAUCAGUCCACCCAGGCUCAGAAGGACUGACUGGCGGGUCACUGGGGACACGCUCUGAAAGGCUGCAUCUUCCCUGUGGCCCAUUCCACCCUCGCUGCUUCCCUGCUGCCAUGACCUGAGCAGCCCCCUCCCCUCCGCCCUUCCCCCAUGAUGCUCUGCU